GUGGGGGAUAUUGCACAAUGGGGGAAACCCUGAUGCAGCGACGCCGCGUGAAGGAAGACGUACUUCGGUAUGUAGACUUCUAUCAGCAGGGAAGAAGAUGACGGUACCUGACUAAGAAGCCCCGGCUAACUACGUGCCAGCAGCCGCGGUAAUACGUAGGGGGCAAGCGUUAUCCGGAUUUACUGGGUGUAAAGGGAGCGUAGACGGUGAAGCAAGUCUGAUGUGAAAACCCGGGGCUCAACUCCGGGAUUGCAUUGGAAACUGUUUUACUUGAGUGCUGGAGGGGCAAGCGGAAUUCCUGGUGUAGCGGUGAAAUGCGUAGAUAUCAGGAAGAACACCGGUGGCGAAGGCGGCUUGCUGGACAGUAACUGACGUUGAGGCUCGAAAGCGUGGGGAGCAAACAGGAUUAGAUACCCGAGUAGUCC
rnacentral:rRNA from 1 species